UGAACGCUGGCGGCAGGCCUAACACAUGCAAGUCGAGCGGCAGCGCGGGGCAACCUGGCGGCGAGCGGCGAACGGGUGAGUAACGCGUAGGAAUCUACCCAGUAGCGGGGGAUAGCCCGGGGAAACUCGGAUUAAUACCGCAUACGCCCUAAGGGGGAAAGCAGGGGAUCUUUGGACCUUGCACUAUUGGAGGAGCCUGCGUUGGAUUAGCUAGUUGGUAGGGUAAAGGCCUACCAAGGCGACGAUCCAUAGCUGGUCUGAGAGGAUGAUCAGCCACACCGGAACUGAGACACGGUCCGGACUCCUACGGGAGGCAGCAGUGGGGAAUAUUGGACAAUGGGGGCAACCCUGAUCCAGCCAUGCCGCGUGUGUGAAGAAGGCCUUCGGUUGUAAAGUCACUUUAACGUGGGAGAAGGACGUCCUUGGCUAAUAUCCAAGGGAUUGAUGCUACCACACGAAUAAGCACCGGCUAACUCUGCGCCAGCAG
rnacentral:rRNA from 1 species